rnacentral:rRNA from 1 species
AACGAACGCUGGCGGCAUGCCUAACACAUGCCAGUCGAACGAGACCUUCGGGUCUAGUGGCGCACGGGUGCGUAACGCGUGGGAACCUGCCCUUAGGUUCGGAAUAACUCCCCGAAAGGGGUGCUAAUACCGGAUAAUGUCUUCGGACCAAAGAUUUAUCGCCUUUGGAUGGGCCCGCGUUGGAUUAGCUAGUUGGUAGGGUAAAAGCCUACCAAGGCGACGAUCCAUAGCUGGUCUGAGAGGAUGAUCAGCCACACUGGGACUGAGACACGGCCCAGACUCCUACGGGAGGCAGCAGUGGGGAAUAUUGGACAAUGGGCGAAGGCCUGAUCCAGCAAUGCCGCGUGAGUGAUGAAGGCCUUAGGGUUGUAAAGCUCUUUUACCCGGGAUGAUAAUGACAGUACCGGGAGAAUAAGCGCCGGCUAACUCCGUG